rnacentral:rRNA from 1 species
UACGUAGGGUGCAAGCGUUAAUCGGAAUUACUGGGCGUAAAGCGUGCGCAGGCGGCUAUGCAAGACAGAUGUGAAAUCCCCGGGCUUAACCUGGGAACUGCGUUUGAAACUACAAGGCUAGAGUGUGGCAGAGGGGGGUGGAAUUCCACGUGUAGCAGUGAAAUGCGUAGAGAUGUGGAGGAACACCGGUGGCGAAGGCGGAUCUCUGGGCCAUUACUGACGCUGAGGAGCGAAAGCGUGGGGAGCGAACGGG